rnacentral:misc_RNA from 1 species
AAAUGCGAUAAGUAAUGUGAAUUGCAGAAUUCAGUGAAUCAUCGAAUCUUUGAACGCACAUUGCGCCCGCCAGUAUUCUGGCGGGCAUGCCUGUUCGAGCGUCAUUUCAACCAUCAAGCCCCCGGCUUGUGUUGGGGACCUGCGGCUGCCCGCAGGCCCUGAAAAACAGUGGCGGGCUCGCUGUCACACCGAGUGUAGUAGCAUACAUUCUCGCUCAGGGCGUGCUGCGGGUUCCGGCCGUUAAACGACCUUCAUAACCCAAGGUUGACCUCGGAUCAGGUAGGAAGACCCGCUGAACUUAAGC